rnacentral:rRNA from 1 species
CCUACGGGCGGCAGCAGUGAGGAAUAUUGGUCAAUGGGCGCGAGCCUGAACCAGCCAAGUAGCGUGAAGGAUGACUGCCCUACGGGUUGUAAACUUCUUUUAUAAAGGAAUAAAGUGAGGCACGUGUGCCUUUUUGUAUGUACUUUAUGAAUAAGGAUCGGCUAACUCCGUGCCAGCAGCCGCGGUAAUACGGAGGAUCCGAGCGUUAUCCGGAUUUAUUGGGUUUAAAGGGAGCGUAGAUGGGUUGUUAAGUCAGUUGUGAAAGUUUGCGGCUCAACCGUAAAAUUGCAAUUGAUACUGGCAGGCUUGAGUACAGUUGAGGUAGGCGGAAUUCGUGGUGUAGCGGUGAAAUGCUUAGAGAUCACAAAGAACUCCGAUUGCGAAGGCAGCUUACUAAGCUGCCCCUGACAUUGAUGCUCGAAAGUGUGGGUAUCAAACAGGAUUAGAUACCCGGGUAGUC